rnacentral:tRNA from 1 species
GCUGAAAUAAUUUAAAGAUAAAAUAUCGUACUCGUAAUACGAAAAUUGCGAGUUUAACUCCCGCUUUUGGCA